rnacentral:rRNA from 1 species
UACGGAGGGUGCAAACGUUGCUCGGAAUCAUUGGGCGUAAAGCGCACGUAGGUGGUCUGUUAAGUCGGAUGUGAAAGCCCUGGGCUCAACCCAGGAAGUGCAUUCGAAACUGGCAGGCUUGAGUAUGGAAGAGGGUCGCGGAAUUCCCGGUGUAGAGGUGAAAUUCGUAGAUAUCGGGAGGAACACCAGUGGCGAAGGCGGCGACCUGGGCCAAUACUGACACUGAGGUGCGAAAGCGUGGGGAGCAAACAGG